AAUAAAAAACUGAAAUAACUUAUUUACAUAAGUAUUCAGACCCUUUGCUAUGAGACUUGAAAUUGAAACCCACUAACAGUUAGCAGGUGGAGCCAAAACAUCCCCUACUGAUUAUGUCUUUCAGGUGAUAAGACGAUACACAAGAAAAUUACAUAUUUAUUUAUAUUGCUCAACUACAAAUAAAAUCCAGGCAAAAUAAAUUAAUCUGAUCAGGCGUUGUUUUACUCAACAGUCACACUGACAAGUAGGCCGAGAUUCAAUCUGAUCAGGCGUUGUCGACGAUGCAGCUUUUAAAGGCAAUGUUACCAUGUUCGCAGAGAUUGCAUUAACUCUACAACGCUGCAGAUGCUUGAAAUGUCACAUUGUCGACAGGCGCUAUGGAAUUUAAUCCAAUUGAACACCAGAUCUCAGUGAUAUUAGUUCAAA